rnacentral:lncRNA from 1 species
GACCCAAUCAAGAGCAAGGUGUCUCCAAUCUGAGCCCUCUCUUACUGUCCCCUUCUGACUUGGUUAUCCCAGCAGCUGUGAACCCACAUGAAACUGUUCCCACGUACCCAUCAGGCAGUUGUGCAUUACGGUGACUGUAAGGACCACUGAGCAUCUAGGUAACAGCCCAGCCUGGAUUAAAUAUGAAUCACCCAGAGAGAUCAGAGCAGACAAAACAAGUGGAUCCUCCCCUGUGUGCUACCAUGGGUUCUGCUGCAUUGCAAAGCUGCUAAAUCAUUUAACAUCAUGCAGAACUCAUCCAUCCCACUGCAUCAAUCCAUUUUCUGUUGGCAAAGGUGAAAUUGCAGAUCUACCAGCCAGGGAUGCCAAUGUCUUGUGGGGUUCCCAGGUCCUGUUUCAGAACUGAGUGGUUCUGCCCUGCAUUUUGCUAUGAGAUGGAUUCAUCUCAGAGAUGGAUGUGAAAAGUUGAGGUAGCCAGCUCAUAGUGAAGGAGUCAAAGUCCAGCUCACCACAGUCCCAUUGUGGUCAGCAGUGAUGUGCACAGAGGAACCCCAGUGUACCCUUCCAGCUUCCAAUAGAGUUAAGAAAAAGAUCCCAGUAGCAUUUCAGAGUGAAAGGGAGAAGCACCAGCCUCUGGGCAUCAAUUGGAAAAGAGUGAGGAUGAAAGAUGCAUGACCCGGAGGAGAAGGAUAAAAUGUGUUCCUUUGGAUACAAAAUUGAUUGAAAACCUACUGCUGUGAAUAA